UGACAAUGUAAAAUAAAAAUAAAAUAACAUAAAGCGAAACGAAUGUGCAGAAUGUGUGUUGACAUUUUUGGUAGACUUAACUUCUGAUAUUAAUUUCAUUAUUAUUUGAUUAAACUUUGGUAAGGUUUAUUAUUAUUGCCCGAGUAACCCAUACUAGUUGACUGGACUAGAUAAACGGAUAAACUGGCACUGAGUACUAAGUACCUCGGACCAUCA
rnacentral:misc_RNA from 1 species